UGCUUGGUUCUUCAAUCUGAUGUGGAAAAGUAUGAGAGACGCAUUAUUUAUGAUAGUUUCUCCCCUGCAUGUGCGACUUUUCAAGAGAAUAUUGCCUCUCCAUACAUCUCAGCAUUCCUUUUCUUUUAAAGACUCUAGCAACAUCAAAGUUCUAUUAAUCAUUUAGUUAAUCUGUGAUAUGGAGGAGUUUGAAUAUAAUUCAUCUGAACAUCACAACCUCAAAUUCUAAGCCAAGAUCAGGAAAAGUUCUGAAGCCAAAAUAAAGAUUUUUGAUUUAGCCAUAAUCACUGUGACAGAAAAACUUAGGUGAACACAUCUUAAGGCAAGACCGCAUGCGUCAUUUUGGAACAUUUCUCAAGGCCAAGAGGACAGCAUAUGAACUGUGAAGGUUGUUAUUACCCCUCUAUUUUCAACCUUAGUGGGUCUUUGUUUCUCUUACAAUCUCACAACAGUGUGUAUGUUACAUGGUUAGCAGAAAUACAGUAUGGAACCAUUCUACGCAUUUAACUUGAUGUGAAGCCUUUAUUAAGGUGCCUCAUAUACACAGUUUAAGGAGACUGACAGGUGUAAGUACCUUGCAGGAAAUGAGCAGCAUAUGACAUCCUUAUUAGUUAAAUAUUCAGUUGAACAAUUGUGCUGAUCAAUUGCUUACUGUGUUUAUCACUGUGAUUUCUGCCACCUUGAACUUUGGCGUCCAGAAAAAUAUCUUCCUUUAGUUCUACGCCCCCUUACAUGAUCUUUUCUGAGCCUCAGUAUUUUUAUCUGCAAAAUAGGUUUAACAGCAGGGGCCUAUAAUAUAGGGUUGCUGUGAUAUUAAGUGAACUAAACAUUCCACACUCUUAUAACAGUGCCUGACACAGAAAAGCACUCAAUAAGUGUAAACUAUUAUGAUUAUCAUUAGGUACAAUAAAUUUUCAUUGAGAACAAGAUGAAUUGAUGUAUUAUACAAUUCUAUUUCAUAAAAAAUAUGUGGCAAUUAAAGGAAGCUUGUUUUUUAAAAAACUUUAGAAAAAAACAUUUAAAGUUGUCAGAAACCUAAUUUCACAUGAAAUCUAACAAGCGUAUUGCUCUGUUGCCAAGAUUCAGACCUGACUUCAUACUUUCAGCCUGAGGAGAAAAAAAAUAAAACCGAGCUUUAAAGUGUUCUUUGAAGUUCUAAGAACGAAACUUGUCGUAAAUUAAUUUCAGCAUUUCAGGUUAGAAAAAUUUUCAUGUAAUCACAACUUUGCAUCUUUUCGUUAUUAAUAAGAUCAUUGGACUUUUUCGAGCUAUAUUGUAUGCAGCUUGAUCUUUCUGUCUUCUGUGGCACAUGCCUCUCUGUAUUUUGAUGGAGUGGCCUUUCAGAAAUGAUUUGUAAUUUUCCUAAAUUAAUACGUUUUAUGAAAACAUGUGACACGAUUCUUUGAAAAUUCUGAGGCCACAAAUAGUUUUUCCUUUAAUCUUUUGUUUUCAAUCACUGGGUAAUCAAAGAUAUUCUAUUUAAAAUGGGUCUUUUAACACAUUAAAUGACCAGGUACAAUUUAUAUUGUCCGCUGCACUGACUUACAUUCAUAUGUAAAAGAGUCGAAUAAGUGUAUCAAUGAGUAUAAUAUGAAAGUUUUACAGUAUGGUUUUUCAUAGUUACUUCUAUAGCCUCGUGAAAUUUUCUUUUACUCCUUUUAAAAAAUACGAAUAUGUCCAUUAAAAAUACUAGCAAAAUAAAACAUACAAAUGGAAAGGAAGUGAAUGUUGAAAGAAAGAUCUUUUAGCUUUUUCAAGUAUCUACUCUAUUUCUGAACAAAAUUUUGCUGCUUCCUCAACAUUUUCUAUUCCCAGUUUUUCUGCAUUUGUUUUCCUCUGUUUACUUACAUUUUCCUUUUCUUAGUCUUCUUACACCCUAUUCCGAACCUCAGAGCUGCUGAUGGAAAAAGACAAGGGAUAGAGUGAGAGUUUAGUCAAGACCACUGAGAAUGACUUCACUCGGAACUGGAGGAGGGUAGGAACUUUGAACUGGCUCAUAAAUGACAGAAAUGAAGCUUUAGUUGUUAUUUCUUAACCAGGACAAAUAAAUAAAUAUAUGUGUUUUAUACGUAUGUUAUAUAUAUACACACACAUAAAUAUAUAUAUAUAAUAUGUAUUUGUCCCAUAUAUACAUAUUUUAUACACAUACAUACACACACACACACAGAAUGUGUGUCUUUACUUUCAUCUUGCCUUGGCUUUUAUAUUAAAUGAACCACUCAGUGAUGGCGUGCAGCUUUUAUCUCAGCCUAUUUUCUUUCAAUAUCUUCUAUUUGAAAUGUAAAUAAAAAUAAUAAGUAAAAUCUAUCAAUGCUGAUCAUGGGAGAAGGACCAAAAUUUGAGCAGCCAUAAUGUUCCGAGAGCUCCUGAGCAAUGCUCUUCCAAGGGUAAAUAACUUUGGGCCCAGAGCAAGUAUCAGUGGUAAACAAGAAAGCAAUUUCUUAUAUGUAAGCCUUAUAAACAUUGUUCAUUUUGAAGGUUAUGCAACAGAUAUUUAUAUUCUUGUUUUCAGGCUGCUUCCAACACAGUAAAAUCUCCUAAGACUUUUGCAAGCCAAGCUAGUCUUUUUUUUUUCUUUUUUUUAGUGUAGUCCAAUGCCAAAACGGCCUCAGCUCAGAAAAGCAACACGAAUUGGAAUAUUCCAGUAUUUCUUCAUUCUUUAAUUCUGCUCAUACUCAUAUUAGAUUUAUUUCUCAGUAGGUUUCAUUUAACUUUGUAUGUAUUCUAAUGCUUAUAUGUGUUUUCUCAUAGAUCACAUAUGUAGCUAAGGAUAUGGUAAAUGGAUAUUGAACACUAUCUGUAAAAUAUAUUAAGACAUAAUUGCUAGUUUGAGAGAAUAGAGCCUACAUCCAAAAAGAUGAACCCCUCAGUUGUGAACAUCAACUCCUCCACUGAAGCAAUGUAUCUCUGGAGAGAAAAGAAAAUUUUUAAAAUCCAUCUUUAUUUUAUAUUAAGGUGAUAAUUACUAUGGGUUUCCUGUGAGCUGCUGCAUACUUCAUUGAAUAUUCAAUAUUUCUUGGGCACAUUGGUAGAAAAAUAUCUAGUAAAAAUGUAUACUUUCUCAGAAAACUUAUUGUUAACUUACAAUGAAUACAUUAAUGAGAUCUUGCUUUGUGUCCAGCAACAGGUCCUUAAGAUUAUAUUGCAAUUCACACAUACCAGAAAAAGAAAAAUAUUGACUAACACUAGAUAGAAAACACUAGAUAGAAAAGCCUGGUGAAAUUGCUUUUGAGUCAUGUAAUUUUUGUUAGGUCAUACUCAACUUGAAAGGACUUAGUCUAUUGUAGGUGUAUAGUAAAUAUAUUUUAGAUGAAGCAAUCUACAGGCAUACUUUGGAGAUAUUGCAUGUUCAGUUCCAAGCCACCAGAAGAAAGUGAAUGUGGUGACAAAGUUAGUCAGGUGCAUUUUUUUUGCUUUCUAGUUCAUAUAAAAGUUAUGUUCAUACUAUAUUAUAGUUUAUUAAAUGUGCUAUAGCAUUGUCUAAAAAAUACGUGUAUAUAUCAUAAUUAACAUACAUUAUUGCUAAAAAUUGCCAAAGAUCAUCUGAGCCUUCAGGGAGUCAUAAUCUUUUUGCUGGUGGAGGGGCUUACCUCCAUGCUGAUGACUGCUGACUGAUCAGGGUUGUGGUUGCUAAAGCCUGGGGUGGCUGUGGCAAUUUCUCAAAUAAGGUAACAAUGAAGUUUGCCUCAUUGAUUGACUCUUCCUUUCAUGAAAUAUUUCUCUGUAGCAUGUGAAGCCACUUGAUAGCAUUUUUCCCACAUUAGAACUUCUUUCAGAGUUGGAUUCAAUCCUCUCAAAUCUUGCCAAGGUUGUAGCAACUCAAUUAAUGAAAUAUCCUAAAUCCUAUGUUGUCAUUUCAACAGUGUUCACAGCACCUUCAUAAGAAACAGAUUCCAUCUCAAGAAACCAUGUUUGUUGUUCAUCCAUGAGAAGCAACUCCUCAUUCACCAAGUUUGAUCAUGAGAUUGCAGCAAUUCAGUCCUCUCUUCAGGCUCCACCUCUAAUUUUAGUUCACUUGCUAUUUCUACCACAACUGCAGUUACUUUUCUCCACUGAUCUCUUGAAAUCCUCAAAGUCAUCCAUGAGGAUUGGAAUAAACUUCUUUCAAACUCCCAUUAAUGUUGAUAUUUUCACUUCCUCCCAUGAAUCACAAAUGUUCUGAAUGACAUUUAGAAUUGUGACUCCUUUCCAGAAGGUUUUCAAUUUACUUUGACCAGAUCCAUCAGAGGAAUCACUCUCUAUGGCAGUUAUAGUCUUAUGAAAUACAUUUCUUAAAUAAUAAGACAUGGAAGUAUUCCUUGAUUCAUGAGUUGAAAGAUGGAUAUUGUGUUAGCAGGCAUGAAAACAAUAUAAAUCCCCUUGUAUAUCUGCAUCACAGCUCUUGGAGGACCAGGUGCAUUGUCAAUGAGCUUUAAUAUUUUAAAAGAAUCUUUUUUUCCUGAGCAGUAGAUCUCAAGAGUGGGCUUAAAAUAUUCAGUGACCCAUGCUGUACACAGAUGUGCUGUCACGAUGUUCAGGCUUUGUUUCCCCAUUUAUAGAGCACAGACAGAGUAGAUUGAGCAUAAUUCUUAAAGGCCCUAAGAUUUUUGGAAUGGUUAAUGAGAUUGCCUUCAACCUAAAGUCACUAGCUGCAUUAGCUCCUAAUAAGAGAGUAAGCCAGUUCUUUGAAGACUUGAAGCCAAGCUCUCUAUUUAUGAAAGCCCUAGAUAGCAUCUUCUUCCAAUAAAAGAUUGUUUCAUCUACAUUGAAAAUAUGUUGUUUAGCAUAGCCACCUUCAUCAGUUAUCUUAUCUAGACCUUCUGGAUAACUUGCUGCCGCUUCUAUAUUAGCACUUGCUGUUUUGCUUUGCACUGUUAUGUUAUGGAGAUGUCAUUUUUCCUUAAACAUCAUUAACUGACUUCUGUUACCUUAAAACUUUUCUUCUGCAGCUUCCUUGCCUCUCUCAGACUUCACAGAAUUAAAGAGAGUUAGAGUCUUUCUCUGGAUUAGGCUUUGUCUUAAGGGAAUUUUGUAGCUGGUUUGAUCUUCUAUUAAGACCAUUAAAACAUUAUCCAUAUAACCAAUAAGGUUGUUUCACUUUCUUCCCAUUCAUGUGUUCACUGGAAUAGCACUUUUAAUUUCCUUCAAGAACAUUUUUUUGACAUUAACAACUUGGUUUAAUAGUGCAAGAGGUCUAGCUUUUGGCCUAUCUUGGUUUUUGACAUGCCUUCCUCACUAAACUUAAUCAUUCCUAGCUUUUGAUUUAAAGUAAGAAAUGUGGAGCUCUUCUUUUUACUUGAAAACUUAGAAGCCAUCACAGGAUUAUUAAUUUGCCUAAUUUCAAUAUCCUUAUGUCUCAGAAUGAUCUGUCGGUGUAGCAGGCAGAACACACACAACAUUGAUCAAUUAAGUUUGUCGUCUUCUAUGGGUGCUGCAUCUGGUGCCCUGAAGCAAUUACAACAGUAACACCAGAGAUCACUGAUCACAGAUCACCAUAACAGAUAUAACAAUAAUGAAAAAGUUUGAAAUAUUCUAAGAAUUGCAAACGUGACACGAAAACUCCAAGUGAGCACAUGUUGUUGGGAAAAUGGCACCUACAGAUUUUUUGGAGGCAGGGUUGCCACAAAACUUUAAUGUGUAAAAAACACAAUAUCUGCAAAGCAUGAUAAAAUCAAGCACAGUAAAAUGAAGUAUGCCAUUAUUUUUAUCAAAAAGGCAAGCAGUGUGACACCACUCUCAUUACCAAGUAGAAUCCACUUAGGAGUAGAUAGAGUCAGAGUCAGGUCGUAUAGAAGAAAGAUGACUGUUAGGUGAAUAAUAAAGGCAGAUAUUUACAAAAUGUAUAUAAGAAUAAAAUGAACUCCUUGAGUUUUGAGAAAGUUGAAAUAAGGAAUCAUAGAGUUCCAUGCAUAGAACAUAUGGAAAUUACAACUCAAAUCUGAACAUGGACCAAUGGUAGGAAGUGAACCUGAGGAUACUAAUGUUCUACUAGUCCCUUGCUCUGUGACAGGUGCAGGAUCCUACAUAAUUGUCACAAGAGCCCCAGUAUCAGAGAGUGACCAUUUUAAUAGCAAUUAUAAUGAAUAGUUUAUGGAAAUGGGAGUCCCGCUGGAUUUGUUAGCAAUCUCAUAGACUCAGAUAAUUUUUCAAUCAGUCAAAACUUAAAGAUUUUGGUUUAAUUAAUUCACUUUAAAGACAAGAAAACAUAAAUUUAUACAGAAAAAUAAAAAUGGCUGGUGCAAAGUCACCAGCCAUUAACCCAGUGAAUUAAUGCAGAAAUGAGAAUAGAAAGAAUCCAGAUCACUCUGAGGCUCUUUACAUCACCUCACACUGCUGUUUAGUUAUUCUCUCAUAUCAUCCCACACACUUGCUCUUAAAAAUAUUUCAAUUGCAAAUUCAAUAAAUAUAGAUUAUUAUUAAACCUUUUAUUGUUUUUUAUUCAUUUAGUUACAAGAGCAAAGUUUUGAGACUAUGGCCAUUCUAAUUCAGGUGAAGAACAGAAUGUGAACUUUAGGUUUGAGUAUAUACCCUCAUUUUCAUGAUAUGAUUUUCAUUAAACUCACAUUGAUUAUUAGCAUUUACAAAUAGGAUUCAUUCAAUCAUCUACUAAAUAUAAUAGAUGUCUUGCUUUCUAAUGCAUUUAAACCAAUACAUAAAUGCCAGCAGGAAGUUCCAAUCACAGUGAAUUAGGAUUGUGCAUUAGUCUUAUUUAGCUUGGCUUUAUAUAGUGUACUGGACAUGAUCAUUUGGCAAAAUAAAAACAAAUG
rnacentral:lncRNA from 1 species